AGGGAGACAGGUGUGCAUGGUUGUCGUCAGCUCGUGUCGUGAGAUGUUGGGUUAAGUCCCGUAACGAGCGCAACCCUUGUCCUUAGUUACCAGCACGUUAUGGUGGGCACUCUGGAUGGACUGCCGGCGACAAGCCGGAGGAAGUGGGAUGACGUCAAGUCAUCAUGGCCCUUAUGUCCAGGGCGACACACGUGCUACAAUGGCCGGCACAGCGGGAAGCGAGGGGGCGACCUUGAGCGGAUCCCUCAAAGCCGGUCUCAGUUCGGAUUGCAGUCUGCAACUCGACUGCAUGAAGUUGGAAUCGCUAGUAAUCGUGGAUCAGCCAAGCCGCGGUGAAUACGUUCCCGGGCCUU
rnacentral:rRNA from 1 species